rnacentral:rRNA from 1 species
UACGUAGGUGGCAAGCGUUGUCCGGAUUUACUGGGCGUAAAGAGCGCGCAGGCGGUCGGCCAAGUCGAGUGUGAAAGCCCCCCGGCUCAACUGGGGGAGGGUCAUUCGAUACUGGUCGACUCGAAGGCAGGAGAGGGAAGCGGAAUUCCCGGUGUAGUGGUGAAAUGCGUAGAUAUCGGGAGGAACACCAGUGGCGAAGGCGGCUUCCUGGCCUGUUCUUGACGCUGAGGCGCGAAAGCUAGGGGAGCAAACGGGG